GAGGUGGCAACGAAGCAGCCAAAGGCAGUGACGAACCGUCGAAGGUGGAGACGAACAGUCAAAGACGACGAUGAACAGCCGAUGGCGAUGGCGAACAGCGGAUGGUUACAACGAGCAUUGUAAUUCGCACGAGAGAAAUAAAAACAACAACGUUCGCACGACAAAAUGGACACCACACUAGGCACUUCACAUGAGAGAAAUGAAGGUCAUGAACCAACAACUUCACGUGAGAGUGAAAAUGGUUGAGCAAGGAAGAAAAAGGAACAAUAGGUUAAAAAAUUUACGAUGGCGGCUAAUGGUGGAGGCAGCGACAAUGGCUAGUGAUGGAGGCAACGACGAUAGCCAGUGGUGAAGGCAGCGGUGGCGACUAGUGAUGGAGGACAUGACGACGGAGCGACAAGGAAAAGUUGUUCGUGCGAGAUGGGAAGCAGCAGUUCGCGUUCGCGCACUUUGGCGAAAGAAGAAGAAGAAAGAGUAAAAAUGUUCUUACUACUUUACACUUCUAGAAUUUAAUUAUCGAAGAGGCUAUUAUCUCGGUUAUAAAAACAACCAAUGCGUAAACCUUCUAG
rnacentral:lncRNA from 1 species